GAAGACAAUUAUAUACAAUUCAAACAAUAUUAAGCUAAUUCCAAUAAAAAUUAAAUGUUGAGGGGCAUGGGACUCAAGAUCGAUUCCAAACAGAGUGGAGGAAACAUGUGCGGCUUAAGCAAACUGGUUGAACCCAUUUGACUAUGAUCAACAUGCAACAAUAUGAUGUACAAUCCCUAAAUGUUACAAUGCCCAUAAAACCAAAUCACGCAUUCCAAAAGAAACACUAUUUUG
rnacentral:lncRNA from 1 species